rnacentral:rRNA from 1 species
AAUGAACGCUGGCGGCGCGCCUAAUACAUGCAAGUCGAGCGAGAAGACGUAGCAAUACGUUUGUAAAGCGGCGAACGGGUGAGGAAUACAUGGGUAACCUACCCUCGAGUGGGGAAUAACUGGCCGAAAGGUUAGCUAAUACCGCGUACGCUCCUUGGACUUCGGUUCAGGGAGGAAAGCGAUACCGUGGGUAUCGCGCUCUUGGAUGGGCUCAUGUCCUAUCAGCUUGUUGGUGAGGUAACGGCUCACCAAGGCUUCGACGGGUAGCUGGUCUGAGAGGACGAUCAGCCACACUGGCACUGCGACACGGGCCAGACUCCUACGGGGAGGCAGCAGUAAGGAAUAUUGCGCAAUGGGCGAAAGCCUGACGCAGCGACGCCGCGUGGGGGGAUGAAGGUCUUCGGAUUGUAAA